GCACGAGCGCAACCCUUGCUAUUAGUUACCAGCACUUCGGGGGGGAACUCUAAUAGGACUGCCUGGGAAAGCCGGAGGAAGGCGGGGAUGACGUCUAGUCAUCAUGGUCCUUACGACCUGGGCUACACACGUGCUACAAUGGCAGGUAUAACGCGUCGCCAACCUGCGAAGGUGCGCUAAUCGCUAAAAGCCUGUCCCAGUUCAGAUUGUAGUCUGCAACUCGACUACAUGAAGUUGGAAUCGCUAGUAAUCGCAGAUCAGCAUUGCUGCGGUGAAUACGUUCCCGGGUCUUGCACACACCGCCCGU
rnacentral:rRNA from 1 species